rnacentral:lncRNA from 10 species
GGCCAAAUGGAAAACAUAGCAAGAUAGUAGAUUUAAAGCUAAUUAUAUCAAUAAUCACAUUAAAUGGAAAUGAUCUAAACCAGAGAUCAGCAAACUUUUUCUAUAAAGGACCAGUUAGUUAAUAUUUUUGGUUUUGUAUGACAUACAGUCUCUGUCACAACCAUUCAACCCUGUCAUUGUAACAUAUAAAAGCAACCAUAGACAAUAUACAAAUGAAUGGGCAUGGCUGAAUUUAGUCUGUGGGCCGUAGUUGGCUAAACUCUGGUCUAAAUAUUCUAUUUAAAAGGCAGAGAUGUUUAUCUUGGAUAAAAAUGCAACACCUUACUAUAUGUUGCCUAUAAGAAAUGUACUUUAGGAUGUGAGGGAGACCUGGCUGCGACAUCUGUCACUCUGUUGAUUACCAGGGUUGAUUUGGUUGAUCUGGCUGACUAAGCAGGUGUCCCCAUCCUCCCUUACUGCUCUAUAUGUGACCUUCUUGAAGCUGCACGUGUUCUGGUAGAAGAGGAUGACCUUCCUUGAUAGAGGAGAACCACAUUCUUCUGUAAAGGGUAUACGAGUAGCUGUGCUCCUCCCCUGCUAGAACUUCUAAAUAAGCUCUCAAGAAAUGCACUUUAAUAUAAAAACACAAUAGAUUAAAAGUAAAGAACGAAAACACAAAAGAAAGCUGGAGGCCAGGCGCGGUGGCUCACGUCUGUAAUCCCAGCACUUUGGGAGGCCGAGGCAGGCGGAUCACGAGGUCAGGAGAUGGAGACCAUCCUGGCUAACACAGCGAAACCCUGUCUCUACUAAAAAUACAAAAAUAAAAUAAAAAAUUAGCCGGGCAUGGUGGCAGGCACCUGUAGUCCCAGCUACUUGGGAGGCUGAGACAGGAGAAUAGCGUGAACCCAGGAGGCGGAGCUUGCAGUCAGCCAAGAUCAGGCCACUGCACUCCAGCCUGGGCCACAGAGCGAGACUCUGUCUCAAAAAAAAAAAAAAAAAAAAAAAAGAAAGCUGGAGUAGCUAUAUUACUAUCAACAAAGUAGAUUUCACAGCAAAGAAAUCAGAAUACUUAAUAUUUUGCUAGGAUUAAAGGAAGAUAUUUAAUAAUGACAAAGGGAUCAGUUCACCAGGAGGACAUAAUAACCCUAAAUGUUCAUUCACCUAAAAACAGAGCUUACAAUUACAUGAAGCAAAAACUGAUAGAACUGUGAGAAGUAAAUUCACUAGUUAGAGCCUAAGAUAUCAAUUCCUUCUCUCAAUAAUUGAUAGAAAAAUAGCCAGACAAUCAGUAAGGAUUUAUACAAUGGAAAAUGGUAUAAAUUUAUUAACAGAUAUAUUGAACGAUAUUGUUAACAAACUUGACCUAAAUUAUAUUUAUAGAAUUCUCAAUUUGACAGCAGAAUACACAUUCUUCUCAAGUGCACAUGAACAUCUUACCAAAAUCGACCAUAUUUUGGCUUAUAAAUAAGUCUCAAUAAGUUUAAAAGGAUUCACAUCAUACAAAUAUUUUCUCUGACCACAAUGAAAUAAAAUUAGAAAUCGUUAGCAGAAAGUUAUCUGGACAAUCCUUAAAUAUUUUGAAACUAAAUAAAUACCAAGACCACGCCCUGAGCCCACUAUGCUGUACAGAUGUAGGGGUUGGGGGGACAGCUUACAUGAAAAAAAAACUAAACACACUGAGCUAUAGAGUUCACCGGCAACACCUGAGUAUACACAUUGUUUCCACCUUGUAGUUGCUCUAUGAUCUUGGUGAAGUUACUUACUUCUCUGAGCCUAUCUCUUAAUCGAGACAGUGGGAGUAAUACUUCUAUUAUUCUAUGUUAUUCUUAGAGUUGUAAGAAUUAAAAGAGUUAAUAUAUAGAAAGUGUCCUAUACCAUACCACCCUAGCUUGUAUUCAUUUACUCAGUGAACAUUCUCUCCUUCCAACCUAAGUUCACAUAGUUCUUGACAGGAUUUGACCUGCAGCCUACAUAUUCUGAUUCCUUAGCAUUCAUUUUUUAACUGCAAAUUCUGUUUUGAAUAAUCAUCUGCUUUUAUUAUUUAUUCAGUAGCUAUUUCAGA